UCCGCCGCAAGUGGAUAAUAUUAAUAGUGUAAAAAUAUGCAAGUGUUCGGUAAACAGGAAGUUGUUGAGUGAUGAAUCUGAAAACGCAUCACACGGUAUAGCUGACAUAUAUAAAUCCUGAAACCAAAUUUCAGAAAUCCUUGUAUUGUAGUUCCUGAGAAAAAUGUGACGAAAAUUUUCAACUUGGCUAUCAUGUGUAAAAUCAGACAAGUGUUCGGUAAACAGGAAGUUGUCAAGUGAUGAAUCUGAAAACGCAUCACACGGUAUGGCUGACAUAUAUAAAUGUUGAUACCAAAUUACAGAAAGGGUGGAUGUGUAGUUCCUGAGAAAAAUGUGACGAAAGUUUCAUGGGACGGAC
rnacentral:lncRNA from 1 species